rnacentral:lncRNA from 1 species
CUCAAUGGCUCUUUGUUUAUUUGGUUUUCUUUUAUUUGUUUUCUUGGAUCAAAUUUCUAGGUUUCUGUUGUGGAUAUCAAAGUGGCAGUUUCUCCAAAAUAUAAAAAGAAUAACAGUUUUUCGAUUGAAGUUGCAUAAAAUGAGGUUUGUGUUUGGGAUGACACAGCCUGAUUGUAUGACUUGAAUCUCCUUACCAUUAGUUUUAAAUGCAAGCAGACGGAAAUAUUAUUUGUAGGACAACAGAAAGUUUGGGGGUCUGAUUUAUGUAUCAAUUUUCUCUCAUAUCUUCUGUAAUAACUGAUAGUAUGUCUCAAUUUGAACUUGAUUUUCUUGAACUUUAUAUAGGUCAAUUGGAAAACAAUGUUCAAUUAUCUUCUUUUGAUAUAUUAGGUGUCGGAUGAGAUAUUCUCUGUUAACCUGUACUCCUGUUUUUUGGUGAAUUUGCAGUGCUCACCUGACUAUGCUUGUAGGUCAAUUGGAAAACAAUGUUCAAUUAUCUUCUUUUAGUUUAUUAGGCAUCAGACGAGAUAUUCUAUCUGUUAACUUGUACUUCUGUUUUUUGGUGAAUUUGCAGUGCUCACCUGACUAUGCUUAUGGCCGAAAUGGAUUUCCUGACUGGGGAAUACAACCAGAAUCUGAAUUGAUCUUCGAGAUUGAAGUUCUGAGUUUACAGUAGUGAG